CACCAGCGCCACAAGUGGCAAUCAGUAUUAUUGGGCCUAAAGCGUCCGUAGCAUGUUUGAAAAAUCUCAUGUGAAAUUGUCAAGCUCAACUUGGCACCGUGCAUGAGACACUGUCAGACUUGGGACCGGGAGGAGUCAGAGGUAUUCCAUGGGGAGCGGUAAAAUGCUAUAAUCCAUGGAGGACCACCUAUGGCGAAGGCAUCUGACCAGAACGGAUCCGACUGUGAGGGACGAAAGCUAGGGGAGCGAACCGGAUUAGAUACCCGAGUAGUCCUGGCUGUAAACGCUGCGAGCUAGGUGUUGCGCAAUCUUCGAGAUUGCGCAGUAUCGGAGCGAAGGUGUUAAGCUCGCCGCCUGGGAAGUACGGUCGCAAGGCUGAAACUUAAAGGAAUUGGCGGGGGAGCACUACAAGGGGUGCGGCGUGCGGUUUAAUCUAACUCCACUCAGAGAAUCUCACCAGGAGCGACGGCACUGUGAAGGUCAGAUUAAAGGUCUUACCUGAGGAGCCGAGAGGUGGUGCAUGGCCGCCGUCAGCUCGUGCCGUAAGGUGUCCAUUUAAGUAUGGUAACGAGCGAGACCUAUGCCUACAAUUGCUAGCGAGUCCUUUGGGAUGAUCGAGCACAUUGUAGGGAUUGCCCUGGUAACGGGGAGGAAGGCGUAGGCUACGGUAGGUCUGUAUGCCCCGAAUCUUCUGGGCUACACGCGCGCAACAAUGGUAGAGACAAUGGGAUACGACUCCGAAAGGAGAAGUUAAGCCUCGAAACUCUAUCCAAGUCCAGAUUGAGGGUUGUAACUCACCCUCAUGACGAUGAAAUCCCUAGUAAUCGGGUGUUAUCAGCGCCCGGUGAAUACGUCCCUGCUCCU
rnacentral:rRNA from 1 species